UUCCUGAAACCCAGUGAAAGAUAGACAACUAACGUCCACAUACAAUUUUUAUUAUAACAUUAAAAAUGAAAAACUCACUUGUUAUUCUCGCUGUCGUCCUGGUAGCUUUUAUUUCUGUGUCCAGGAGCAACCCUUUGGAUGAUAUAGAGCAACAUGACAUGAAGAGUGUCGUUGAUUCAUCGACGGAGGUAGUGGAGCUAUUCAGUGGCGCGGGAGUCUCUCGUCAACGUAUCUGUACGGCAGCGCUGUGUCGCAGUGUGUGUCAGUCACUCGGAUUCCCGAUAUCCUUCUGUAACAAUCAACGCAUCUGUGUCUGCAGACGUUAAUAUAAAUCCAUGUACAAUGUUCUACAAAUAUGCUUAACUUCAUACAAUAUAUUGUAUUUACUUGAAUUAUACUGCCUAAAUAAAUAUGAUUAUAAUAACCA